AUGAGAAGAGAAAACCCUGCUAUACCCAAUGACUAUUAUGUAACCAGUUUCCUGUCUGGACUGCAGCCUUAUAUCAGAAGUCAUGUGGAGUGUUUUAAACCACCAGAUAUGCAAACAGCAGUAUGGUAUGCCAGGAGAAUGGAAAAAGCUAGUGUUCCUGCCCAACCUAAGACUUAUGUUUCCCAGCCUAAAAGGCAAGUGGUGUUUGACCAAGCAAAGCCACCCCUAGCUGAUCCAACACAAAACAGAAACACAGUCAUCCAGCAGGCAAAACAGAACCAAGUCUGCUACAAAUGCAGAGAACCUUGGGUGCCUGGCCAUCGACAAGUAUGUCGAAUGAGCCAAAAAGCACAAAUACAGGCAUUACAAGUACAGGAAGAAGAAAAUGCAGAAAUCAUUUAUGUUACAGAUUUUGAAGAUCCUGAGUUGGACCAAGCUGCACCUCCUCCUGAUAAUGUUGUACUACAGGUCUCUAUGCAUGCUGCCAUGGGCAUUGGUGUAGUUAAGAACACAUUUAUAUUAACUGUUAAGGUGGGCAAAACAAUAGCUACUGCUCUGGUGGAUAGUGGUAGCACUUUCACAUUUGUGUCUCCUGACAUAGCUGCAAAACUACCUAUUGCACCUGUUCCCAACCAGAAGAUAGAAGUGCUAGUAGCUAGUGGAGGAGUCCUAUGGAGUGAGUUCACUUCUCACAAUUGCCCCUAUGAAAUACAAGGCAUACAGCUACAGGACACAUUCAGAGUUUUAAAGCUGAAGGGAUAUGAUAUCAUAUUGGGAGUAGAUUGGUUGAGAAAAUAUAGCCGUGUGCAAAUGGACUUCAUUAAAAUGGAGAUGAGAAUUAAUGCAACACCAACUACUCAGGCCACUUUUGUGGAUGAGACUGUUCCCUCCUCUUCCCCUGUGGAGAUCACAGAUGAUGCAGAAAAACUAAUGGAUCAAGCUGUCUGUGGAUUUUUCCUCCUGUCCACCUGUCACACUGUGACACAGGCUGCUAAUCACCCUAUCCCUGUGGAGCUCCAAGAACUCAUUCAGCAGUAUGACAAAUUAUUCAGUGCACCUACUGAAUUGCCUCCAAGCAGAGCUUGUGACCACAGAAUUCCACUAGUGGAAGGAGCUAAGGUUGUAAAUCAAAGACCAUACAGAGUACCCCAUCACCAGAAGGAAGCUCUAGAGAAAAUCAUUGCUGAGCUCCUCAAAGCUGGUCUCAUUAGGCCUAGUACUAGCACAUUUCUCUUCUCCUGUCCUCCUGGUCAAAAAUAA
rnacentral:rRNA from 1 species